rnacentral:rRNA from 1 species
CCUACGGGGGGCAGCAGUGAGGAAUAUUGGUCAAUGGACGAGAGUCUGAACCAGCCAAGUCGCGUGAAGGAUGACUGCCCUAUGGGUUGUAAACUUCUUUUAUAUGGGAAUAAAACGUUCCACGUGUGGGAUUUUGUAUGUACCCUAUGAAUAAGGAUCGGCUAACUCCGUGCCAGCAGCCGCGGUAAUACGGAGGAUCCGAGCGUUAUCCGGAUUUAUUGGGUUUAAAGGGAGCGUAGGUGGAUUGUUAAGUCAGUUGUGAAAGUUUGCGGCUCAACCGUAAAAUUGCAGUUGAAACUGGCAGUCUUGAGUACAGUAGAGGUGGGCGGAAUUCGUGGUGUAGCGGUGAAAUGCUUAGAUAUCACGAAGAACUCCGAUUGCGAAGGCAGUUCACUGGACUGCAACUGACACUGAGGCUCGAAAGUGUGGGUAUCAAACAGGAUUAGAUACCCGAGUAGUC